rnacentral:rRNA from 1 species
AUUGAGCGCUGGCGGCAGGCCUAACACAUGCAAGUCGAACGGUAACAGAAAGCAGCUUGCUGCUUUGCUGACGAGUGGCGGACGGGUGAGUAAUGUCUGGGAAACUGCCUGAUGGAGGGGGAUAACUACUGGAAACGGUAGCUAAUACCGCAUAACGUCGCAAGACCAAAGAGGGGGACCUUCGGGCCUCCUGCCAUCGGAUGUGCCCAGAUGGGAUUAGCUAGUAGGUGGGGUAACGGCUCACCUAGGCGACGAUCCCUAGCUGGUCUGAGAGGAUGACCAGCCACACUGGAACUGAGACACGGUCCAGACUCCUACGGGAGGCAGCAGUGGGGAAUAUUGCACAAUGGGCGCAAGCCUGAUGCAGCCAUGCCGCGUGUAUGAAGAAGGCCUUCGGGUUGUAAAGUACUUUCAGCGGGGAGGAAGGGAGUAAAGUUAAUACCUUUGCUCAUUGACGUUACCCGCAGAAGAAGCACCGGCUAACUCCGUG